rnacentral:lncRNA from 1 species
ACUUCUAAAUAUAAUUAACAAUAAAUUAAAAUACUUCUAAGUACAAAGUUAAAACAAAUUAACUGUUGAACAAAAUUAAAACAAAUUAAGCAAAUUAUAUUGUGCACUGCCCAUCUUCUUCUUCAAUUAGUUACCACAGAUAUUAUUUCUCUUACUCAUCGCUUUCUUACAUUCGGAAGUGGUUAGUAUGAAGUUUAUUUUUAGGUAAGUUGGUCAAUUGACCAAUAGAGUGCUGACACGUAGUCGAGACUCUAUGUGUGUCAGUAUUCUAUUGAUCAAUUGACAAACUUAUCAAAAAAUAAAUUUCAUGCUAACCGAAUCACUUGCAUUCAUCAUCAACUUAAUUUCUUAUAUGAAAUCAAAAUAGUUGCCCUCCUUCAUACUUCCAAUGAUUUGAAAAUCUAUUUGCGUCAAUGAAGCAAAUCUCUUACUAGUUGGGAAUAACAAAACCAAUAUUCAUCAACUUAGACCCAAACCUUAAUCUUCACCCAUAAAGAACUAUCACCGUUCUGCCAUUCCAAAAAUUUGAAAAACAAGAAGAUAGUUUUGAAGGAAAAAAAACCCUAGAUCUGACUUAAAAGUCAUCUCAACAUCGUCCCCACAAUCACCGCCUCACAACUAUCGUUCACUGCAACUCAAAAUCACUGGCAUCACUACAACCCCCAAUCAGCAACAAGCCAUCACAUGACUAGAAGAAAUAUAAAAAGAGAAGGAGAGAUAAGAGGCGACAAGUUUUAGAUAUGAUGAUCGAUGGACUAUAACAUCUUUAAUCGGCGAUUGAUGUUUUGUAUGGGUUUUCUCCGGCGAUCGAUGGGGUUUAAAGGGGGGCUGUGGUGAUGGAUGUGCAAUCAGAUUUUUAUUCUCAUUUGGUAUUUUUUUUUUGUGGAGAUUGUAAUAGCUCGUAUUUGGUUAUGGAUAUUGAUGAAAGUUUGAAUAAUAGUCCAAGAUGAUGGUUAUAGUAGUCCUCACUAUUCUAUGAAAUAGUAUAAUAAUAAUUGUAAUGAGAAUUUUACUUGAGUUUGGAUAUUGUCUACGAGACGAUAUGUAAGACCUCAACUUAUUAUAAAUAAAAUUGAAUUUCCUCUAUUUAUUAUUUUGAAAUAGUAAG